GGCAGGUGAUGUUCUUUUCUCACGAUGGUCUUCGUAUGCCCCUGGGGUUCUGCCGACACUGCCCAAGGCAAUGCUGAUGCCAGUGG
ensembl:snoRNA